rnacentral:lncRNA from 1 species
UGCUCGUGUCCGAUGAGAAGAGAAUAGUAGUACUUAUAGCUUUUGAAAAUAGUAAAGAAUAAGGUAGGAAGUGUAUAAUUAUAGAAGCAAUAUCAAAUUAAAUCAAUCAUAGGUCAUAAUUCAAAUAAAUUAGGGACUCAAAAUUCGAAUGAGAAUAUAGGCUAUCAAAUAAGGAAAAAGUCAGUUUAAUGAUUGACUAUACCAUAACGAAAGCAAUAGGCAUGCUGUACAUAAUAAAGGCUAGGUACACAACAU